GCACUUGUAUUAGUACCAAAAUUGGAAUAACACAUGAUUAGCAGGGUCCCUGUGCAAGGAAGACAUGAAACUUUGUGAAGGGUUGUGCAUUUUA
rnacentral:snRNA from 1 species